rnacentral:tRNA from 1 species
GCGUAGCGCAGUCUGGUAGCGCGUUUGCUUCGGGAGCAAAAGGCCGAGGGUUCAAAUCCCUCCGC